UCCGAAUUGGUGUAGUGGCUAACAUUACACGCUCUCACCGUGUAGCCCGGGGUUCGAUUCCCCGAUUCGGAG
rfam:Pseudomassariella vexata strain CBS 129021 BCR38scaffold_8, whole genome shotgun sequence.